UGAGAUGCUUAUUAGACUCCCAAGUACCAAAAUUUUAGAUAUCAGUGGGGACCUAACUCAAGAGCUUAGAUACUGUUGUAUCAGACAUCACAUUGUCGCCACUUACAUGAAGGCAACCAUUGGUUGGUUGCUUAGGAGCAGGUGUGGAGAGAAGAGAUGGGGUCCUGGCUUGAAUCCAAGGAGCUCCAAUAGAUGGGUUUGGAGGAAGAAGGAGGAAUUAGGAGAAUGAGAAGUCAGGAAACUGAGGAAAGCCCAAGGGUCCUGAGAAAUGAGAGGAGCGUUUGGGGGAGGGGAGGACUAAGUAAAUGUUCUAGAAGGAGAUUGCGUUAAAACACAGAAAAAUAACUUGGCAGAGACACACAUCCUGCUUUAUAGAUUUGGUUUUGUGGACCCCAGUGUUCUAUAGGGAGAGAAGCAAUAUCGAGAAUUCAUGAUUUGACAAAAUUAAAAGCAGAUUGAAACAAAUAUACAAAAUACUAUUGAGAAAAUGGGAUAGAGCAACGAGUGGAGCUGUGUAGAGACUUUAAGCCCAGUAUUGUUAAAGAACCCAAACUGAUCGUGUUCACAGUGUUAACCGCAGUCCUCAUUCUGCGCCUUUGCUCUAGGUUCAUUCACCACCCGCCUGUAGGUGUGGUUUUGUAUCCUUUGACCUAGCUCUACUUUCUUUUUCUUUGUUCCUCCUCCUUCUCUUCUUCCUCUUCCUCUUCUUCCUCCUCCUCUUCUUGAUUCUACAGCUUAAAUAAAUUAUGCAGUGUUGUUUUAUUUUAAUUCUGUGCCUAUCUCAUUCCACUUAGUAUAAUGUCUUCCUGCUUUAGUCAAAAAUUGUCAGAUAAAGGUCUUCUUUUUAAUUAUUAUAUUUUUUUAGACAGAGUCUCAUGUCGUCUAUGCUGACCUCAGUCUCCCUUUAUAGCCAAGCAUAAUCUUAACUACUGGAGUUAAAUGUGGGAAGCUAUCACAUCUGGUUCAUGUGGCAGUGGUGAUUGAACACAAUGCUCCAUCCAUCCUUGGCAAGUGCUUUACUAACUGAGCCGCACCUCUACCCUGGUGUCUCCUACUUAAAGGCUUAAUAGUGUUACAUUGUUUCUUUGUAAUUCUUCAUACACACAUGUUUAUAUUAUUUAUCAUAUUAUAACAUGUGAUAUGUAUAUCUAUCUAUAUUACAGUUUCCUCCCAACUUCUUUACUGGGAAUUCAGAAGUUGUUACUUAGGUGGUUUCCUUCUCUGGGCCCAUGGUGGGUCAACUGUGCGAACAUGGUGUGCAGAUAUCUCUGGGAGCUGUUGGUUUCAUUUCUUUACAUAUUCGGGAGCUGGGUUUCUAGAUUUUAGGGCAGUUCCAGUUUCAGUGUUUUAAGGUGUCUCCACCCUAAGAUGGAUAGCCAUGCUAAUUUCCAUCCCAUUGCAUUCCAUUCCAUGCCAACAGCAUACUGGGGUUCCCUUUUCUCUCCACUCUCACCAACUCUGAGCUCUCAUUGUUUUGAUAAGAGAGGUCCUGAUGUGAGAUGACAUCACAGAGAGGCAUGUCACAUGAUCUGCAUGCCCCUAACAUCUAGAGACAUGGAGCACCUUUAAUAUGUCUUCUUGCUAAUUGAAUUUCUUCUGCAGAGACAUGUCUCUUAUGCCCACUAUUUCAAAUGUUGCUUUUUUUGUUUUGUUUUGUUUUUGUUUUUUGGUGUUGAGUUUCAUGGGCUGCCCAUACAUUUUAAUGUUAGCCCUUUUUAGAUAAAUAGUAUAGUUUAAAUAUAAUGUAUUUUAAAUGUGCGUUUGCUUACUUGGCCACUAUAAAUGCCUGGGAACAGCAAUCCAGUUGCAAUGAGCAUUUCUGUAGCCAGAUUGUCUCUAAUUCCUAAUUCCUACUAAGAGAGCUGAGGAUGCUGAGAAGCACAGCUGACUCCAGGUCUGGGGUAGAAAAUGGAAAUCAUGAAUGAGAAGCAAUUUAUUACUCUAGAAAGCAACGAGGCUUUCCUUGGCUACCAGGGACUGUCAGAAGGAUUCAGGAGUCUUUCACUUAUGUGCAGGUGUGAGAGUUGAUAAAAAUAACCCCACUGAACUGAAGUACAUCAAGCAUAUUUAAAUCUGUGACUUCAUAAUUAUAUAAAAAUCACUAUUAGUCAACCUUUGAAAGAUGGGGAAUUAACUUGUUACAUUGAAAGUGAUAAAUACGGGAAAAAUGGAAUCAUUUAUCCCGCCUCUCUAAUUGUGUUUUUGCAACUCAAUAUGAUGAUAUAAUUGAUCAGAAGUUUCUGUUUGCAGGACUAUUUAGCUAACAAAUGAAGAACUGAUAGAAUAUUUCAGUUUUGUAAAUUCUAAUGAAAGAAUGAGCCACUAAUUGCCUCUAACACCACACACACAGACAAUAUAUAGAUAUAACAUACAACCCCAACUAGGAUGUAUUAUUUUUGCUUUCUUUUAUAUUGUGCGCGCGCACACACACACACACACACACACACACACAGACACACACACCCCACUGUGUAGAGAUCAGAGGCUAACUUGCUGGAGUCGGUUCUCUUCUUCUGCCAUGUAGGUUCUGGAAAUCAAACUCGAAUCAAACUCGAGAUGUCAGGUUUGGUGGCAAAUGACCUUACCUACUGAGCCACCCUGCCCUCACCCACUGAGCCAUCCUGCUGCCCUGGUUUAUUCUGUUUUACCAAUUAAAAAGAAUGACACAUUCAGAUCUUCUCAGUUAGAUCUAACUGCCAUGUGACCACAGAGGUGCUGUCAGCAAAAUCUGAAACAAGGAUAAAUAAAUAAAUUGCAGGAAAUAAGAACGUGGAAAAGUAACCUCAGAAUUUAAACAAAC
rnacentral:lncRNA from 1 species